rnacentral:rRNA from 1 species
GACGAACGCUGGCGGCGUGCUUAACACAUGCAAGUCGAACGAAGUGGCGAACGGGUGAGUAACGCGUAAUCAACCUCCCGUUCAGAGGGGGUCAAUAGUUGGAAACGACUGCUAAUACCGCAUACUGAUGGAGGGGAUGGAGGCUGACUAGCUAGCUGGAGGGGUAACGGCCCACCAAGGCGAAGAUCAGUAACCGGCUUGAGAGGUAGCACGGCCCAAUUGGGACUGGGGACACGCCCCAAAUCCUACGGGGGGGCGCAAUGGGGAAACUUCCGAAAUGGGCGGAAGUCUGGCGGAACAACGCCGCGUGAGUGAUGACAGCCUUCGGGUUGUAAAGCUCUGUUAAUCGGGACGCGUUACCGGAAUAGAAAGCCACGGCUAACUACGUGCCAGCAGCCGCGGUAAUAC